rnacentral:rRNA from 1 species
UAGGGUAUUGGCUUACCGUGGCAGUGACGGGUAACGGGGAAUUAGGGUUCGAUUCCGGAGAGGGAGCCUGAGAAACGGCUACCACAUCUAAGGAAGGCAGCAGGCGCGCAAAUUACCCAAUGAAAACAGUUUCGAGGUAGUGACGAGAAAUAACAAUACAGAGCAUUAAAUGUUUUGUAAUUGGAAUGGUGGGAAUCUAAACCCCUUUCAGAGUAACAAUUGGAGGGAAAGUCUGGUGCCAGCAGCCGCGGUAAUUCCAGCUCCAAUAGCGUAUAUUUGAGUUGUUGCAGUUAAAAAAGCUCGUAGUUGGAUUUCUGUGUCGGUUCUCGCGGAUGCCAUGUAGAGUAACUUUUACGGGUGUUGACAUGCGUUGAGUCGGUGCAUUUUCUCAGUUGGAAUAUUGUUUUGUGUGA